rnacentral:rRNA from 1 species
AUAGCCUUUAGAAAUGAAGAUUAAUACUCCAUAAUGUUGAGAGAUGGCAUCAUCUUUUAAUUAAAGAUUUAUCGGUACAAGAUGACUAUGCGUCCUAUUAGCUAGAUGGUAAGGUAACGGCUUACCAUGGCAACGAUAGGUAGGGGGUCUGAGAGGAUUAUCCCCCACACUGGUACUGAGACACGGACCAGACUCCUACGGGAGGCAGCAGUGAGGAAUAUU